GACGAACGCUGGCGGCGUGCUUAACACAUGCAAGUCGAACGGGCCCGCUCUCUUUUUUGGGGGUGGGUUGAGUGGCGAACGGGUGAGUAUCACGUGAGUAACCUGCCCCCUGCUCCUGGAUAACUGCUUGAAAGGGCGGCUAAUACGGGGUGUGCCGGCUGGUCCGCAUGGGCCUGGUCGGGAUAGUUUCAUCUUCGGGUGUUUCGGUGGGGGAUGGGCUCGCGGCCUAUCAGCUUGUUGGUGGGGUGAUGGCCCACCAAGGCGGUGACGGGUAGCCGGCCUGAGAGGGUGGGCGGCCACACGGGGACUGAGACACGGCCCAGACUCCGGCGGGAGGCAGCAGUGGGGGGUAUUGCACAAUGGGCGGAAGCCUGAUGCAGCGACGUCGCGUGAGGGAUGGAGGCCUUCGGGUUGGGAACCUCUUUCUCCGGUGGUGAAGGCCCUGUCCGUUGCGGCGGGGUUGACGGUAGCCGGGGAUGAAGCGCCGGCUAACUACGUG
rnacentral:rRNA from 1 species